rnacentral:tRNA from 1 species
GGGCUAUUAGCUCAGUGGUAGAGCGCGCCCCUGAUAGUCUCUGGUUCAAGUCCAGGAUGGCCCA